UAAAUGGAACAUCCCCAAACCUUGCGGUAGCCACAAUAAAAACCCUGCUGAUUUGGAAUUCGGGGCUCUCAAUCCUGAUCCGUUGUGUCAGUGACGGUUGAGUGCCCCUGCUCGAGCUUGAAUAAACGACCCUCGUGUGUUUACAUCGGAAACGGCUCCUUGGUGGUCUUUGGGGACUUUGCGAUCUGGGCACAACAGAACGUACACUUGCAAUUCUUUGUUGAUGUACAGAAGGAUCUAGAAUCUGUCUCUCGAGUCCUUCACACAUGGUAUCACAUGCAUUGAGCCUAGCCAGGAACCAGCAGCCAGAGACACCAGGCCAGCUAGGAAGGGAGGCAGCUGGGAGCAUGCCCUGGACUGCGUGGAUUUGGGCGGCCACUUGGAUAGUGGGUGAAGUUGUUCAUGGGACGCAGUGGAAUCUAUGGUCGCACACCAAGUAGAUACCCUUCUCAGGGGUAAAGCAGAACUUUUAAAAAAAGGAAAAACAAGUCUCCUCAACCUUGAGCAAUUUCCCCUGACUUCCUCUAUGAUGGUUAUUAACUUUGUUCCUGUAAGUAAGGUUUUUAUGAUCCUUCACUUCUAUAAAAUUCUGUUAAGUUGCAAAACUGUCACUAUUUGAUUAGCUACCUUUGUCCUCCUUCUGGAAACCUGUUUGCCCACCCACCAGUUUUGUACCACUAGAUAGAACAACUCCUUGACUACAUGUAUAACACUAGAUCCCUUUUCUUUCUUU
ensembl:lncRNA